AAUAGUUUUCGUAUGAUGUAGCAGGUUUCAUCUUUGCAAUAGUUGGCACACGUCCAGGGUAAAUACUUCGUGUUUAUAUACUGGCUUUAAGUAAAGCAAAAUCAACAGUUCAGGAAUUAAAUAAUUCCAACGAACGACAUUGGAUAAUAUGGAGCAAAAAAGAUGAAGCUACGAAAUAUUGAAAUAACACAUUCUUUGCAAUAAAAGUGUACAAAUACAAUAGAAGAAACCAAAGAAACCCAGAGAAAAUCAAUACAGUACGUUAUCUUUUAAAAAUAAAAAAAAAAACAUAAUAUCCAUGUGGCGGAUUAUUUUGUCGCAGAGCGUAGACCACAAUUAUAGAAAAAUUAAAUCUUCUGCA